rnacentral:rRNA from 1 species
AUACAGAGGGUGCAAGCGUUAAUCGGAAUUACUGGGCGUAAAGCGCACGCAGGCGGCUGCAUAAGCCGGUCGUGAAAUCCCGGGCUUAACCUGGGAACUGCGAUCGGGACUGUGCGGCUAGAGUGUUGGAGAGGACAGCGGAAUUCCCGGUGUAGCAGUGGAAUGCGUAGAUAUCGGGAGGAACAUCAGUGGCGAAGGCGGCUGUCUGGCCAAACACUGACGCUCAGGUGCGAAAGCGUGGGGAGCAAACAGG